UACAGAGGUGGCAAGCGUUGUUCGGAAUUACUGGGCGUAAAGGGCGCGUAGGCGGCGACCCAAGUCAGAUGUGAAAGUCCUGGGCUUAACCUGGGGACUGCAUUUGAUACUGGGUUGCUUGAAUUCGGGAGAGGAUAGCGGAAUUCCCAGUGUAGAGGUGAAAUUCGUAGAUAUUGGGAAGAACACCGGUGGCGAAGGCGGCUAUCUGGACCGACAUUGACGCUGAGGCGCGAAAGCGUGGGGAGCAAACAGG
rnacentral:rRNA from 1 species